UACGUAGGGUGCAAGCGUUGUCCGGAAUUAUUGGGCGUAGAGAGCUCGUAGGCGGUCUGUCGCGUCUGCUGUGAAAACUCGGGGCUUAACCCCGGGCCUGCAGUGGGUACGGGCAGACUAGAGUGCGGUAGGGGAGACUGGAAUUCCUGGUGUAGCGGUGAAAUGCGCAGAUAUCAGGAGGAACACCGGUGGCGAAGGCGGGUCUCUGGGCCGUAACUGACGCUGAGGAGCGAAAGCGUGGGGGAGCAAACAGG
rnacentral:rRNA from 1 species